rnacentral:lncRNA from 1 species
AAACACACACACACACACUCACGCACACACGCACACACUCAAACAUACACACACAAACACACGCACACACACACACACGCACACACUCAAACACACGCACACACACACACACACACACACACACACACAAACACACACACACUCAAACACAUACACGCACGCAAACUCAAUAUCAGACACACGCAAACGUUCGCACAUACACACACAGAUGUAUAAACUCUCACUCUCUCUUUCUCUCGCACACACACAUACGAAGUGUUCCGUAUAUACACUCGCACACACACACAUACAUACAAGCACGCACUUAUGAAUGUAUCCUUUCCUACUCUAGGCACACGGCCCGACAUAUUUGGGGACGUGGGGGGGGGGCAGUCGAUUAGAUCGACCUCAGUACGCUACUGGUACUUAAUUUAUCGCCCCCAUAAGGAUGAAAGGCAAAGUCGACCUCGGCGGAAUUUGAACUCAGAACGUUACGACGUGCGAAAUACCUCUAAGCAUUUCGCCCGACGUGCUAACGUUUCUGCCAGCUCGCCACCCUUACUUAAUAUUUUGUAUUUGAUUCUUUCUUUUUACUUGUUUCAGUCAUUUUGACUGCGGCCAUGCUGGAGCACCGCCUUUAAUCGAGUAACUCGACCCCGGGACUUAUUCUUUGUAAGCCCAGUACUUAUUCUAUUGGUCUCUUUUGCCGAACCGCUAAGUUACGGGGACAUAAACACACCAUCAUCGGUUGUCAAGCAAUGCUAGGGGGACAAACACAGACACACAAACAUAUACACACACACACAUAUAUAUAUACACAUAUAUACGACGGGCUUCUUUCAGUUUCCGUCCACCAAAUCCACUCACAAGGCUUUGGUCGGCCCGAGGCUAUAGUAGAAGACACUCGCCCAAGGUGCCACGCCGUGGGACUGAACCCUGAACCAUGUGGUUGGUAAACAAGCUACUUACCACACAGCCACUCCUGCGCCUAAUUGUCUAUAAGAUACACUUACUUUCACCAAAAAAAAAAAAAUGUCUCAAAAGCAGAAUUACACCGAACCCCAUAUACGGGAGUUAGGCAUAUAACGUUACAAACUUUAUAGAAUUAAAAACUUUUCUUUCUUCCUGAAAUCAGGGUGCGUCCAAUAUACCCGGUAGUUUUUUUAUGUUAUCAAAUACUGUAAGCAAGUCUGAGGUGCGGUACCGAGUCCUCCUGCUGGGUCGCGCGUUAAGACAAAAAUCAUUGUGAAGAGUUCCGGUUUCAUUUUGCUCUGCUCUGGUCUAUUAUUAUUAUUAUUAUUAUUAUUAUUAUUAUUAUUAUUAUUAUUAUUAGUAUCAUCAUCAUCAUCAUCAUCAUCAUCAUCAUCAUCAUCAUCAUCAUCAUCAUCAUUAUUAUUAUUAUUAUUAUUGUAUUUACUGGUGGAUUUGGAUAUAUACAUUAUUGCUAUGUUGUCAAAAGUUACUCAAGUUAUUGUGAGAUGAAGACGGUUACCAGUUGAUCAUUUAGGGCAGAGGUCCUCAACCUACUGGCCGUGGACCAGGGGCCAUCUUAGUCUUAGACCAUAGAUACAGUGGACAGUUGUCUAGGGAAUCCACGGUCCUCGGGUCCCAGUUCUUACCUAUGUAUGUUAUCAAGGCCCAAUUCAGACUUAUGUAUGUUGAGGCUUGCUGUCGAUAAAUGAAUGCUGUAGGGCUCAGUGCAAUAAAUUUGCCGGGGACCCUACGGACUUAGGGGCACAAUUUUGACCUAUGUAUGUUGUCGGGGCCCAAUUCAGACAUAUGUAUGUUGAGGCUUGCUGUCGAUAAAUGAAUGCUGUAGGGCUCAGUGCAAUAAUUUUGCCCGGUACCCUACGGACUUAGGGGCACAAUUUUGACCUAUGUAUGUUGUCGGGGCCCAAUUCAGACAUAUGUAUGUUGUGGAUUGCUGUCAAUAAAUAAAUACAAAAGGGCCCAGUGCACCGAUUUGUCAAGGGGUAUACCAUACUGCUUAUGUGCUCUUUGCAUGGAAAGUACCGCUGGACCUUGGAAUAAUUUGGUGCCGGGUCACACAAAAAGAAUGUAUAUUUAAAUUUCAUUUCUAUUUUAAUGAUUAUUGCAAUUAGAUUGCGGCCAUACUGGGGCAUCACCUUGAUGAAGUUUAGUCGAACGAAUCAAGCCCAUGAACGAGCCCGUUUCUUAAAAGCUUCAUUUUCGUAGCUGAGAACACACACACACACACACACACACACACACACACACACACACACAUAUAUAUAUAUAUAUAUAUAUAUAUAUAUAUAUAUAUAUAUAUAUAUACAGCCGGAUAUUACCGGUAAAGGUUUUAGUUGCCAAUUCUGUACAAGACAUUGUAGAUCUUUAGCUGGGCUAAAAAGCCACAUUCGAUCACAGCACCAAUAACAAUUAAGCUUCGUGCAAUGGCCAUACUCGAUAACGAGGGGGCAGCCAUAAUAUAUACACGCAUAUAUGUUUGGGAUAGUGAAUUGUGAAGUAAAGAGCCGAUAAAAAUUAUAUAACUGCAGACGCAAAAUGGUAGAAUAAUUAGAAGAAAAAGAAGAAACACGAACCUUUUGCAAAUCAAAUAUAUUCUAUCGCAUAUUUUUAAUGGUUUUGGAGUGUGAAUCUUUUCAAAGUGACUAUAUUUGCUUUAAGCUCUUUGACUCUUGGAAUAUAUUUACUUAAGAGCUUUCUCGGAUCUGUAGAAGGAAUAUAAAUCCAUCCUAUUGAAAGAAAUUAUUCUAACGUAUUCGCAAACGGUAUUUGCAACCCCACCAAAAAACAAAAAAAAAAAACAAACAAAAAAAAUCAAAACAAAAACAAGAGCAAAACGAAGACAAAAAAAAAACAGAAACAAAACAAAAAACAACAGAAGCCAAAACAACAAACGAAAAAGAAAACAAGUGGAAUUGUUAACCAGGAACGUGUGGUAGAAUAGUUAUAGUCUUCAUUUAAUUAGACGGGAUUACUCUCAUAAACUAGUGUCCGAUUCAUUAUUAUCAUUACCAUUAUUAUCAUUAUCAUUAUUAUUAUUAUUAUUAUUAUUAUUAUUAUUAUUAUUAUUAUUAUUAUUAUUAUUAUUAUUAUUAUUAUUAUCGUCGUCGUUGUUGUUGUUUUUGUUGUUGUUGUUGUAUCACAAAGGGUAUAGAAAGAUUAAUGUCUCUGAAAAAUUUUUCGUACAAAACAGAAAAAGAUAAUUGAAGCCACCAGCAGAACUUCUUAAAAUUUUGAAUAGCGCAGCAUAUUAGUUAUAUCUGAACGUGUUACCGAUUUUCUCUCUCUCUCUCUCUCUCUCUCUCUCUCUAUCUGUAGAAAAAUCCAUUGUUUACAAACAGAGAUCGAUCUCAUUAAAUAUUAUAAUUAUUUUUCCUCCUCAUUAAAUAUUAUAAUUCUUUUUCUUCCCAGAUUUGUUAUUACACUAAUUAUUAGGAAUGCAAACUGAAGACAAAAAAACAAACAAACAGACAAAUGCUUAAAAAACGUCAGACAUUCUAUAUUGAUAUCGAAAUCCGUUCGGAAAGGGGGGUCGCUUGAGUCCUACAACAGAUUGUUUGCUAACGAAGGGGCUGAAAAAAAAAUAGUGUUUGGAAUGUUUUCUGCGAGCGACUUCAAAAAGAUAUUUAUUAAGGAUAUUUAUUAACAGGAUAUUUAUUACGAGGAGGGACUUUUAAAAAUAUUUCACAGGAUUUUGAUGGGCAAAACAUAACAAGGCUUGUUCAGAAUGUUUAGUCGAUUUGGUCCGGCAACCAAAACUAUUUCCUAUUGAAUUUGAUGAUUUUAUUGUUAUUUUUGAUGCUCCAGACAAAAAUUGGCGAAAGGUACGUGGCCUUGUGGUUAGGAUGUUGUAUACCAGCUCGGAAGAUCGUGGUUUCGGUUCCCGGACCGAAAGAUGCUUUGUGUUCUUGAAUAAAUCGCUUAAUUUCCCCUUUGCUCCGGUCUACUCAAUUGUAGAAUGUGUAACCUUGCGACGGACUGGCGUCCCGAUCAAGGGAGUCAACGUGUGUGUUGUGAUAUUGAUCUCUUGCACACCAUGGAAAGCAGGUAACCGAUUCUAUUCGUCCCAGAACACGAGAUAGUAAUAUCCAGCAGUUGUUGCCAUUGUUGCUUUUGUUGUUGAUGAUGGUUAUGAGGAGGAAGAUGACGACGAUGACGACGGCAACGACGAUGGUGAUAUGAAAUUGCACAAACUUGCAUCGUUGUUUCUUUGUUGGCUCCUGAAUGACUGCAAAUGCUGAUAAAAGCGAAUUUUGAAGGAAUUCAUUAUCAGUCCAUUACAUGAUUUCAAAACAUUAUUUGCUUCAACAGUUGCACAGUGAAUAAGACUUUUAGUAGUGCAUCAACUCUUUAGUGGACAUCCAUUCGUAUGUGUGUAAUUACAAGAUGUUGAUUGCUGGUUUUGUAAUAGAAAGGAAUACUUGCAUCUGUUCGCAUGCGAUAAUGAUUGUCCAAAAUUAACUGUAGCUUGAAUAUGAGAAAAUUUUACAGUUUUAAUCGAAAUUCUUAUAAAUCAUAUGGUUGGGAAGUGUUUAGCAACAAUUUAAGAAAUUUUUGGCUACAGGGAGCCAAGAAUUCUUGACUAAAAGGAGGAUUACACUAAUUUAUAAUCUUACUUCUAAUUUCAUUCUUAGUGAUAUUACGUGGGGGAUUAACAAGAAGAUUAUACUAACUUUUAAUUUUAUUUCAGGUUGUAUGAGGUGGUAGGCUGUCUCUUUUGAUGUAAUUAAUUUUGUUAAUUGAAACUACUAUGUUGUAAGAACUUCGCUUCAUUAUAGGAAAGGUUAUAGAUACGUAAAGAUAUAUUUUUAACAAGCUUGCUGAAAAAUUGUAUUGUGUGAUUCGAUUGUCUGUUGAUGUUAUACAGUGAACCAUAGGUCAUUGCUGUUUUUAGAGUGAGCAUUAUCAUCAAGAUAAUAAUUGACUACAUUAAAAUUAUAUUCAAUUAUUGUCGUCAAAUUAAAUUCCUUGAAAAAUGUUAGGAGUGGCUGUGUGGUAAGUAGCUUGCUUACCAGCCACAUGGUUCCGGGUUCAGUCCCACUGAGUGGCACUUUGGGCAAGUGUCUUCUACUAUAGCCUCGGGCCGACCAAAGCCUUGUGAGUGGAUUUGGUAGACGGAUACUGAAAGAAGCCCGUCGUAUAUAUGUAUAUAUGUGUGUGUGUAUGUUUGUGUGUCUGUGUUUGUCCCCCUAGCAUUGGUUGACAACCGAUGUUGGUGUGUUUAUGUCCCCGUAACUUAGCGGUUCGGCAAAAGAGACCGAUAGAAUAAGUACUGGGCUUACAAAGAAUAAGUUCCGGGGUCGAGUUGCUCGACUAAAGGCGGUGCUCCAGCAUGGCCGCAGUCAACUGACUGAAACAAGUAAAAGAGUAAAAGAGAGUUCAUCCCAGAAUCUUUCAGAAUUUUAAUAGUAGUUUCUGAUUAUCAACAAACCGUCAUCUUCAUAAAAACCUCUGAUAAUAUAUAAUAGGGAAACUUAGUGUGUAAGUGGUUUACGAUAUGUAGUCUCAAUAUGUCGCUUAACCCUUGCUUCCUGACUCACAUCAAAAGAAACAUUAGAAAACCGUUUUUCCCUUCGAAUACAAUUGCUAUAAAAAAAAAAACAAAAAGAGUUUGUAGCCUAUAAAUAAUAAUUUUGGAACUUCUAACGAAAAUGGAAUGCAUCGUUUAAAAGAUGGUUUUAUCUCCAAUCCCAAACUAAACGAAACAGCAAUUUUAUUUGAUAGAUAUUGAUUUCAAUCAAGAGAUUACACAGUUGGUGUUUUUCCAGUUUUACCAAAGGAGUAAAUGAAACCCAAUUUUCAUUAGGUUAUCUAUAAAACAUAAGCGCUGAUAACGUUAAAUAUCCGCUUUGGUAAGGGUUAACAAGUCCUGUCCAGCGAUUGUUAGCAGAAUUUAUGACGUGACAUCAUAGUAUAAAAUACAGGUUUCAUAACGAAGGGGACUUUACUCUAAGUUCUAUAUUUAAUUCGGUGACGAUGUUUUUCGUUUCGCUGUUGUUAUUAUCAUGUAAAGUUAUAAAGUUCGAUCUUUUGCAAUUGUUGGUUAUGGAAUUAGAUAAGAAUUUUAUGUUAUUUUCAUUUAUCUGUUUCAUUGCGUUUUGUACGAAGUUACACAGUUUUUCUUUCAUUCUCUCAUUUGUUUUUAAGUCAUUCGACUGCGGCCACGCUGGAGCACCACCUUAAAUGGUUUUAGUCGAGCAGAUCGACCCAGGACUCAUUCUUUUGUAAGCCUAGUACCUUAUUCUAUCGAUCUCUUUAGCCGAACUGCUAAGUUACGGGGUCGUAAACACACCAGCAUCGGUUGUCAAGCGAUGGUGGGGGCACAAACACAGACACAAAGACACACACACACACACACACACACACACACACACAAGAACACACACAAACAUACACACACAUACAUAUAUACACACAUAUAUAUGUAUAUGUCUGAGUGUGUAUGUGUCUUUGUGUUUUCCCCCCACUACACCGUUUGUCACCCGGUGUUUAUAUUUUUAAGUCAGUAUAACCUAGCGGUUCGGCAAAAGAGACCGAUAGAAUAAAUACUCAGCUUAAAAGGAAAAAUAAGUACCGGGGUCGAUUUGUUUGACUAAAAAUUCUUCGAGGCGGUGCCCCAGCAUGGCCUCGAUGUAACCACUGAAACAAGUACAGGAAAGAUAAAAGAUAACAACAGCUGCAGCAGCAACAGCUGCAGCGGCAGCAGCAACAACAACAACAACAACAACAUUUCUACCGAUCUAGGUUUAUCAAUUUCUUUUGGCCUAAUAAUAAUACAAAAACAAAAAAAACAAAACAAACAAACAAAACAAUCGAUGCAUCAAUCAGUCAGUCAAUCUAUCAAACAGUCAAUCAAUCAAAUGAUUUCUAUUUUAUUUUCCAAUGUUCAAUAGCUUUUACAUGACUUGAUUGUAGAGCCACAAUAUGGCGUCCAUUUCAUUUUUUUCUGUUUUCUGUUUCCUUUGCAUGAAACAAACGAAAUUUCCCCUGGUAGUUGACUUGCUCAACCGUCGAAUAUUCUUCACCGAUUUUAACUUACCGUUGUUCGUAGCUUAAAAAAAAAAAAAAAAAGAAAAAGAAAAUGUUAUGUCUGUGUUUAAGUUGGCGAGCUAGAAGAAUCGUUUGCCAUUCCGGACAAAAUGCUCAGCAGCGUUUCGUCCGUCCGUCUUUGCUGUUCUGAGUUCUAAAUUGCGUUCCAGGUCCAUUUUGUCGUCUUUCAUUCUGAUGCGCGUGUGUAAGUGUUAAUAUCUUUAUGUGUGCGCGCGUGUUUGCUGAAACGAAUGAAUAAUUUGCAUAUCCACCGAGUACUUUACCCCCACCUAUAAUCCCAAAUGUGUUGAGAGCAACUGAAGCAAGAAGAUUCGCCCUGAGCAGGAGAACCAUUGGGAAGGAGCGAAAGGUAUUCCAUGAUAAAGUAGAAACAUAAAUACAUACAUACACAUGUAUGUAUACAUAUACAUGUACAUAUAUAUAUAUAUAAAUAAAUAAAUAUAUAUACAUACAUAUAUAUAUAUAUAUAUAUAUAUAUAUAAU